GACGAACGCUGGCGGCGUGCUUAACACAUGCAAGUCGAACGGAAAGGCCCUGCUUUUGUGGGGUGCUCGAGUGGCGAACGGGUGAGUAACACGUGAGUAACCUGCCCUUGACUUUGGGAUAACUUCAGGAAACUGGGGCUAAUACCGGAUAGGAGCUCCUGCUGCAUUGUGGGGGUUGGAAAGUUUCGGCGGUUGGGGAUGGACUCGCGGCUUAUCAGCUUGUUGGUUGGGUAGUGGCUUACCAAGGCUUUGACGGGUAGCCGGCCUGAGAGGGUGACCGGCCACAUUGGGACUGAGAUACGGCCCAGACUCCUACGGGAGGCAGCAGUGGGGAAUAUUGCACAAUGGGCGGAAGCCUGAUGCAGCAACGCCGCGUGCGGGAUGACGGCCUUCGGGUUGUAAACCGCUUUCGCCUGUGACGAAGCGUGAGUGACGGUAAUGGGUAAAGAAGCACCGGCUAACUACGUG
rnacentral:rRNA from 1 species